AUGAGAUGCUUUUCUGAUUUUCUUUUUUGUAUGGUAAAGCAGAGCAACAUGUUUUGUAUGCUGUGGAUCGUCUUUCAGACAAUGUCUCUCCUGGUGGAAGCUGGAGGACAGUCUUCAGGUAGUGGUGAGGCUGGUGGUGGCAAUGGAGGAGUUGUGAAUGGAGGCAUGGUCGUUAACGCUGUUAAACCAGGGGUUAUGAAUGGGCUUGUCUUAAAUGGGCAAACCUUUCUGGCACAGGUGUUACCAGUUGGUGGAUCAUUACUUAUUCAACAACCGGGUGCACUUGGUCAGGCCGCCAUGCCCCAGCUGGUCCCCAUUGGUGCACUUCAGCAGGUUGGGGCACUUCCUGUAGGACAGGCGGGAGCAGCCAAUGGAGUGCCACUACAACAAGGACAGCUUCCUCAACUAGCCAAUAGGGUUGUACCAUUAUUUGCAGUUCUGCCACAGGCAAAUGGCAUCGGAGGCCCCCAGGCCCCAAUGUUGAUGCAGAUUAUUCCUGUGGGUGGAGGAAACAACCUUCAGCAGCCAGCGGCUGGAGGGAAGGCAAGGAAAGCUAGAGUCAAGCAUUCAGUCCCUUUUCAUGGAAUGCCCACAUCAACAAGAACAGAUACUCCACUGACCAAGGUGAUUGCUGGGGAGGUGGAAGAAUCCUCCGGCUCUGACACCAGUGAAUGCUGAAGUGAGGCUGAGCCUCUGAAACCUGGACAGCAUUCUAACUAGGGUUGCACAUUUCUAGUAACUGGGACUUCUGGAAAGUGUGAAAGUUACCAGAAUCUUGCAACCGAAAAUAAAGUAUUUCAACUGUAAUACCAGAAUCUCAUCAAAUUGCCAAUUCCAGAUGACAAAUUACCUCUACUGGCAGGUUGUUCAAUUCCCGGGUGCGCCACUACAACUUGUUGUGUUGCCCGCUUGUUUGUCUCCCCAUCUUACUUCAAAAUCUAUCUCUGAAUAAACGUUAUGAAAGAAAAGUGGAAUUCCAGUCUCCUUUGACCAAAACUAAAACUAGAUUAACAGGCUGACUAUCUCGACUGUGUGUCCAUUUCCAUGUUUUGUAACGGCGUUCCCGAUGUACUGGAAAUGUUGUUACCACAGCUGAUGUCUUUGAAUAAAUUAUUAAACGGAUGGC
rnacentral:lncRNA from 13 species